GACGAACCGUACGAACGUUAUUCGGAAUCACUGGGCUUAAAGGGUGCGUAGGCGGCGCUGAAAGUUGGGUGUGAAAUCCCUCGGCUCAACCGAGGAACUGCAUUCAAAACUACAGUGCUUGAGGGAGACAGAGGUGAGCGGAACUUAGGGUGGAGCGGUGAAAUGCGUUGAUAUCCUAAGGAACACCCGUGGCGAAAGCGGCUCACUGGGUCUCUUCUGACGCUGAGGCACGAAAGCUAGGGGAGCGAACGGG
rnacentral:rRNA from 1 species